rnacentral:ncRNA from 2 species
AGACAGUUAACCGACUGACGGAAGUGGAAUUGACCACAGGGAAGUUAAUGCUAAGCAGAGCCGACCGUCUGGGCCAUGAAG